rnacentral:lncRNA from 1 species
UUUUUUUUUUUUUGCUUUUUAGGGCUGCACCCAUGGCAUAUGGAGGUUCCCAGGCUAGGGGUCAAAUUGGAGCUACAGCUGCCAGCCUACACCACAGCCACAGCAACGCCGGAUCUGAGCUGCGUCUGUGACCUACACCACAACUCACAGCAACGCCGGAUCCUUAACCCACUGACCAAGGCCAGGGAUAAAACCCACAACCUCAUCGUUCCUAGUCAGAUUCGUUUCCGCUAAGCCAUGUUGGGAACUCCCAUGUGUAGAAUAUUUCUGAUUGAAAAAGAAUAUCUGUCUCCAUCUUCAUGCCUUAUAAAAUCCAUCAUCAGUAAAAAGGACCUUAUAUUAUCCGUCCUGACGAUGUCCCACAGAUGUCUGUAGGUCAAACUCUAAAUUGAUUUAUACAUAAAUGUAAGAUGGUAUCACCAAUGUUUUGUCACUCUCUUCUGCUGUUUACUUAGUAUUUGCAUAUAUUGUACUGUAUUUUCCAACUCCAUUCUUUCUUCUAAGCCAAAUGUUGAACAGAUUCCACACAGGAAUAGUUUCCCCUGCUUUAUUUACUUUCCUACUAUGAUUCAAAUGUGAAUACGUGAAUACAUGACAUUUUCUAGGUAAUAGAUUUUAUUACCCCAAAGAAAUGAUCAUUUGAAAGUUUAUGCAUAUCUCUAGCUCUUUUUUCUCAUCCUUAGAAUUAGAACAUACAUUCUCUUGUACUGCAGGAGGUGGUGGCAUGGGGAGGAUAAAUUGUCCCAGCAAAAGAAAAGGUGGUUUUAGCACAGCUGGUCUGCCAGAGUGUCGGUAAUCUCCCAGGGCAUUUUUGAGCUAAGUUUUCUCUAACCAUUUCUUCAAAACAGUACCUUAAAGCUUCAGGCUGAGAAUAUCUGCAUUGUUGGUUCAUUCACUGAUUAAAAUAAAGUUAUCUCUAUCUCCUUAAAAAUGCAAUCCCCCCAAAUUUUUAAUAUCAUGUUCCUGAAGGAGAGAAAUUUAUAAAUAAACAAAAGAAGCAAUAUUUUUUUUUCCCAGUCCUCCUAACCCAGUCUAGAAGUUGAUUCCAUCAAGUUAGUGCUCUAGGCAAAAUAGAAAUGCCAGGAGGUUCACUAAUAAUGAUUCCCAAGGAAUCCCUGACUCAAAGGCCAUGUGCUGUGCUUAUGAAAAGUGUCUGAGCAAAGGAGGUUUGUCCUAAAGGUCGUGUAAAUAAUGGUCAGGCUUUCUCUUUCUGGUUAUGUGUACAUAUUGUGUUCUCCUGGUGAGAGAAAAAUCACGUUUUCUCCCUACUCUGAAGGAAUUUACUGAGGAAUUUAGGUCCUUUUAACUCCUAGAAACCUCCACCUUAGAAGGGUACCUGAAGGUCCUCAGGUUCUUGGCUCCUGAAGACGUUGAGGUAGAGCAGCAAGAAGUUCUUGUAAGAGAUGCGCAGAGGAGAUUCCUUUCAUCAGGGAGAGUGACUUGAAGCACAGCAGGGGGGUGGAAUCAGCUCUCACCAUGUUAGUCUCCCUGUAAUGCUGCUCAGAGGUUCUGCUUUACUUAUGUCAUUUGAGGGGUUGAAGAAAAGCACUGAAUACCUUUUGUAACUACUGUAGGUAAAGUUCUAAAUCUGCAAAACAUAGGGCAUACCAUAGAGGCCCUGCUGCUGUGGCGAUUUCAGAAUAUUGGAAGGAAUCUGUUGAAGGUAUUUGAAGGGAUUCAACAAAGUGGACAAUCCUUGUCCUGUGAAAGCAACAUGGGCUUUUUCUUGAACAACUAAAUGCCUGUUAAUACUAGACUUAACUCAACAUUGCAACAACUUAUAUCUAGUUGAAAAACUCCUGUCUUUAAAGGCCUGGCACUGUCAACUCAACAUUUAUUGGCCAUUUACUUUGUGCGAGGCCUCAUGCUAAGCAAUUCUGGGAAACAAAGAGAUAAAUAGGACAAGAGUCAUGCCCUCAAGGAGCUAUUAUCUGUUUGGAUUGGCAGCCUCUUUGGCAAAGUACCCCCUCUUCUGAAACCUUCCAUGCUGUGACUCCAUAAGUUUAAGUGUAAUUUGUUUUUAUUUUUGUUUAGACUUUCACAAUGAUCUUUGAAAUAAUUGGACUUACUAGUUAUUAUAGCUUGGUGACAAAAGUAUGAGUUUAAUAUGUAUAAAAAUUUUUAUAUAUAAAUAUAUUUUAUAUUAAUUUUGUGCAUUUAUACAACAAUCACCUAUGCUUUGGAUGUUGACCCUCUGGCACUGAGAAAUCUCAUAGUAGCUUCCAAUGGAAAAGACUAAGGAAAGUUAGUAAGUAGUAAAAUUAUUUCUAUUUGAAAAACAGGCAACCUAGAUCUGGCACAUACAGUUACUUUCAAGUAACUGGAAUACCUUAUUAGACUAAAUGUUCAAUUUUUAAGAUAUGCUUGAGGACAGCUUAAUGUUUUUGUGUACUGAUAUUUGUGUAUAUUUUUGCAUUUUCCUGAAGAGUCCAUUUUUGGUAAUUUCCUCAGCAUGGAUACUAUUCAAAUUACUGAAACGUAAGUUUUGAUUUUACUUUCUAUUUUUCUGGUGUCUAAAAUUCGGCAUUUAAUUCGGAGAGAAGAGAUGUGACAGUUCCUUCACUUAAUUACAGAUGCAGAUCAUGCAGCCUUUUUUUUUUUUCUGUCUAUCUCCUAGUCCUCUUCAUAAACUGGCAGAUAAUCUCAUAAUUAUUCAAACAAUACUGGCACUGCACAUAGAGCCCAAUAAAGACUAGCAUACCACGCUCGAGCAGCUCCACAGUAAUUUAUUAUCAAGAUUAGAGAUUCCCAGGAAAAUCAUGUUUUAACUAAUUUUACUGUGAGUCUUCAGUAGGGAAGGGAGGAAGCAAUCGAACAAAGCAAAUGACAUUUUAAAAAAACUCUUGUACUCUCCAUUACUUAAGUAGUAAUGAGGAGGGUACUGCAUGAGGAAGGAAUGCAGUGUUCAAACAUUUUUAGUGAAAACAUAUAUAAUUAAGCCUGAAGUCUACUUAUAGUUGAAGAAAAGGCAGAUAACUCUUUACAGCUAAGGACUCCAUGAGGCUACAAAAUGGUGUGGACAAUGUAAUAUAAUGGGACACAGGUGCUAAUAUUAAUAUAACAAAAUAAGUAUGAACCCAUUAAUAGUCAUGAGUGUUGUAGGGUUUUUUGGGGGGGGGGCAUGUAUCUGCAGCAUAUGCAAGUUCCCAGGCUGGAUGUUGAAUAGAAGCCACAGCCACCGGACAUAGCAAUGCCAGCUGGUGGCAAUGCUGGAUCCUUAACCCACUGAGCAUGGCCAGGGAUUGGACCCACAUCCUCAUUGAUACUAGUGGGUUCAUAACCCCCUGAGCCACAAUGGCAAAUCUCCACAUUGUCUUCUACUUGUCUAUUCAGCCAUGAUAUUAGAUCAUGAAAUGAGUUAGCUCUCAGGAGACUUCAAAAUUAACCCCCAACCCUGCCCCUGCCAGGGAGGAUUGAGAAUUAGGUAAAUACAGUGAAAUAUCUGAAUAUAUUUGCAGAACAAAAACAUUGCAUAGAGCAAAUGCUUCUUAUAGCAAAACUGUUAGUGAGAUGCAGGUGGAAGAGCCCUAGACCUGGACAUAAAUGCCCUGGGCUCCAGUUUUGGAUCCCUUAGUUAAUAAUUUGAACAUUACCCAAGAAUUAAUUUCUAUGAAUAUUAGGCUCAUUUUCUUGAACAUAUUAAUUUGGUCUUACAUUGCUAUAAUAAUAUACUAGAUCAAAAUCACUUUACUAACUGAAAUUCAUUGCAUGGUUGCACAUUAUUAUAGCACAUAAAUAGUUUGUCUGUGUAUGUUGAUAAAGAAAAACUGCAAAAUAAAUGCAAAUGAAUCGACUGACAAGGGAUUCAUCUCCAAAAUUUAUAAAUACUUCCUACUGUUCAAUACCAAAAAAAACCAAACAACCCCAUCAAAAAAUGGGCAGAAGAUCUAAAAGACAAUUCUCGAAAGAAGACAUACAGAUGGCCAAAAAACACAUGAAAAGAUGUUCAACAUCACUCAUUAUUAGAGAAAUGCAAAUCAAAACCAUGAUGAGGUACCCACCUUACCUUUGAAAGGCUAUCAUCAAAAGGUCUACAAACAAUAAGGGUUGGAGAGGGUGUGGAGAAAAAGGAACCCCAUUACACUGUUGGUGGGAAUGUAAAUUGGUGUAACCAUUGUAAAAAACAGUAUGGAGAUUCCCUAGAAAACUAAAAAUGGAAUUACCAUUUGAUCCAGCAAUCCCACUCCUGGGCAUCUAUCCAGAGAAAACCAUGACUUGAAAAGACACGUUUUCUGAUGUUCACUGAAGCACUAUUUGCAAUAGCCAAGACAUGGAAACAACCUAAAUGUCCACUGGCAGAGGAGUGGACAAAGAAGAUGUACAUAUACACAAUGGAAUAUUACUCAGCCUUAAAAGGACAGAAAUAAUGGCAUUUUUAGCAACAUGGAUGGACCUAGAAAUUAUCAUGCUAUGUGAAGUCAGUCAGACAAUCAGACACCAACAUCAAAUGCUAUCACUUACAUGUGGAAUCUUAUAAAAAGGACACAAUGAAUUUCUCUGCAGAACCAGAUACUGACUCACAGACUUUGAAAAAUUUAUGGUUUCCAAAUGAGACAGGUUGGGAUGUGGGGCUAUGCACUGAUGGUUUGGGAUGGAAAUGUUGCAAAAUUUGGUUGUGAUGAUUGUUGUAUACCUACAAAUGUAAUAAAAUUCA